CAACCGCUCCACCCCAGAGGACUGCCCGAGCAACAGAAAGCUGGCAUUCAGUGCCCCUGACGGACUUUACUGAGGUCCGCCAGGAGCACCCAUGUCCGCCCAGAUGCCCCCGGCAGACCUCAGAGAUCUGCCAGGAGCAUCAUGUCUGCCCAGGCACUCCAACCAACCUGACCAAGGCCGGCCAGAGCACCCAGGAGAUGACAAGGACAGCUACCAGUCGUACUACACUGUCUGCUGCCACCAGGCAAUGAGCUGCUGCUAUGUAGCAAUGCAGUCUUGCAUCUGACAGCACCCAGGAAACGUAUGGUGAGGGUGAGCUGAGCGGGCUCCAUGCUUGCCGUGGUAUGGUGUCUGCAC